GAUGAAGAACGUAGCGAAAUGCGAUAAGUAAUGCGAAUUGCAGAAUUCCGUGAGUCAUCGAAUCUUUGAACGCACAUUGCGCCCUCUGGUAUUCCGGAGGGCAUGCCUGUCUGAGCGUCAUUGUCAACCCUCAAGCUCAGCUUGCUGUUGGGUCCCCGUCGUUGCUUUAACGGCGGACCCGAAAGGUAAUGGUAGAGUCCGUGAGACCCUAGACGCAGCGAGCUUCUAGCACGCGUCUGGACGUUUUUCGGGCUCGGUCUUAACUAGAUGAUAACUUCCGAUUGACCUCAGAUCAGGUAGGGAUACCCGCUGAACUUAAGCAUAUCAAUAAGCGGAGGA
rnacentral:misc_RNA from 1 species